GAUGAACGCUGGCGGCGUGCCUAAUACAUGCAAGUCGAGCGAACAGACCAGGAGCUUUCUCCUCUGACGUUAUCGGCGGACGGGUGAGUAACAUGUGGUUAACCUACCUAUAAGACUGGGAUAACUUUGGGAAAUCGUAUCUAAUACCGGAUAAUUUAUUGAAUCGCAUGGUUCAAUAGUUAAAGUCGGUUUUUCUUUCACUUAUAGCUUGAUCCGCGCCGCAUUAGUUAGUUGGUAAGGUAGCUGCUUACCAAGGCUACGAGGCGUAGCCGACCUGAGAGGGACGACGGACAGCCUGGAAGAGAGGCAGGGUCGAGACUCCGGCGCGGAGACACGGUAGGGAAUCUUCCGCGAUGGGCGAGUGCGUGACGGAGCAACGCGGCGGGAGUGAUGAAGGUCUUCGGAUCGUAGAACUAUGUAAUUAGGGAGGAACAAAUGUGUAAGUAACUAUGCACGUAUUGACGGUACCUAGUCAGAAAGCCACGGCUAACUACGUG
rnacentral:rRNA from 1 species